UAGUGGCGGACGGGUGAGUAACGCGUGCCCUCAGGAGGGGGAUAACGGUUGGAAACGACCGCUAAUACCCCAUAUGCCGAGAGGUGAAACGAAAUUCGCCUGAGGAUGAGCCCGCGUCUGAUUAGCUAGUUGGUGGGGUAAAGGCCUACCAAGGCAUCGAUCAGUAGCUGGUCUGAGAGGAUGAUCAGCCACACUGGGACUGAGACACGGCCCAGACUCCUACGGGAGGCAGCAGUGGGGAAUUUUCCGCAAUGGGCGCAAGCCUGACGGAGCAACGCCGCGUGAGGGAUGAAGGCCUCUGGGCUGUAAACCUCUUUUCUCAAGGAAGAAGAACUGACGGUACUUGAGGAAUAAGCCACGGCUAA
rnacentral:rRNA from 1 species